rnacentral:rRNA from 1 species
GGCUCAGGACGAACGCUGGCGGCGUGCCUAACACAUGCAAGUCGAACGGAGAUAUAUGCUGAAGAAUAGCUUGCUAUGAUUCUUAUAUAUCUUAGAGGCGGACGGGUGAGUAACGCGUGAGCAACCUACCUUUCAGAGGGGGAUAACGUUUGGAAACGAACGCUAAUACCGCAUGAUAUUAUUAAGCUGCAUGGCUUGAUAAUCAAAGGAGCAAUCCGCUGAAAGAUGGGCUCGCGUCCGAUUAGGUAGUUGGUGAGAUAACGGCCCACCAAGCCGACGAUCGGUAGCCGGACUGAGAGGUUGAACGGCCACAUUGGGACUGAGACACGGCCCAGACUCCUACGGGAGGCAGCAGUGAGGGAUAUUGGUCAAUGGGGGAAACCCUGAACCAGCAACGCCGCGUGAGGGAAGACGGUUUUCGGAUUGUAAACCUCUGUCCUCUGUGAAGAUAAUGACGGUAGCAGAGGAGGAAGCUCCGGCUAACUACGUGCCAGCAGCCGCGG